CGGAGCGCCAGGAGGGCGGAGUCCCGGCUGACUCUGGGUCGGGCCCUGCCCUCUGCGCUGUGGCUCCAGCCGGCACCGUGCAGCAGCCGCCGCUGGAGGUCGGGUCGGCUGCUGAGCCCCGCAGCGCUCGUGCGCAGAGGAGCUGGCGGCGGAUGGUGCGCGGCCCCCUGCAGCAGCAGCAGCCGCGCGCUCCGGGAGCAGCCGCGAGAGGGAAGAGGCUGCGAGGGACCCCCCCGCACGAGGAUAGCUGCAGUCAUUGUGGAGAGUGAGUUGAGUAUCGGAUGCUUGUGGUGAGCUAUGGCGGCUGAUGAUAAAGUUGCCAUUUUAACUGAUGAUGAAGAAGAGCAGAAGAGAAAGUAUGUGCUUGCUGAUCCUUUCAAUGGAAUUUCCAAGGAGCAAGAUCUCCAGCCCCAAAAUGAAACCCCUUCAACGGAGACCACCACUGUCCCAGAUGAGGAGCUAGACUGGUUAGAAAGGCACUGUGUCAAAAUAAACAAUGAUCUUCUGAUCUCCAAGGUCUUUUAUUUUUUCUUUUAUUCUGCAUAUGGCUCCCUUUACCCAUUGCUUCCUGUGUAUUAUAAGCAGCUGGGCAUGUCGCCCAGUCAGAGUGGACUUCUGGUGGGCAUUAGGUACUUUAUUGAGUUCUGCAGUGCUCCUUUCUGGGGAGUGGUGGCAGAUCGCUUUAAAAAAGGGAAAGUUGUUCUUCUCUUUUCGCUUUUAUGUUGGAUUUUAUUUAACCUGGGGAUUGGAUUUGUUAGACCAGCUACCUUAAGAUGUGUACCAAAGGUCCCUCCACCACCACAUCCUUCCAAUGCCAGCCACCUUUUAACAUCGCUGCCCCAAAAUGCCACGAUUUCUUCUCUACUAACUACAGCUAGUGCUACAUUACAGAAGGGUCGUGGGAAGCGGGGACUGUUAGCUAGCAGUCCCCCAACUUUGGAAUUGUUUCCAUUUUCUGCUCAGACCAGAAAUGGAGACCUUGCCUUGGAUAACAACAAUACAAAUUUUAUUUCAAAGAAUACCACCACUAACCCAGGACUGCCAGAAAAUAUGACCCACCCUACGCCACCACCUGUUGUCACCACGAAGCCAGUAUCUUUUGACCAUGUCAUGCUGGUUUAUGAUCAUCAAGAAGUAGAAGCUAUCUUUCUACUCAUUCUCUUGGUUGUCAUUAUAGGAGAGUUUUUCAGUGCCUCAUCUGUUACCAUUGUGGACACCGUGACUCUCCAAUAUCUUGGCAAACACAGGGACCGCUAUGGCUUGCAGCGAAUGUGGGGCUCUCUGGGCUGGGGACUGGCCAUGCUGUCGGUGGGAAUUGGUAUAGACUAUACCCGUAUAGAAGUGAUCAUCGAAGGUCUGGGGUGUAAAGCUCCUGAGUACAAGAAUUACAGGAUUGUUUUCAUAGUCUUUGGUGUACUGAUGUCAAUGGCACUUAUUGUGGCCACCCAGUUCAGAUUCCAUUAUAACCACUACAAAGAAGAUGAAAACAAGAGGAAGGAAGUAGAGAUCCCACAGGUGGAUGGAAAUGCCUCCACUGAAUCCUCUGAUGACACCCCCAGCAGCAUAAGCCAGUCUCAGUCAUUCAGUUUUUGGGACCUGAUAAAGCUCCUUUGCAGCAUACAGUAUGGGUCUGUGCUGUUCGUGGCUUGGUUUAUGGGGUUUGGGUAUGGGUUUGUGUUCACCUUUCUCUACUGGCACUUGGAAGACCUGAAUGGCACUACCACCCUCUUUGGAGUCUGUUCUGUCUUGAGCCACGUAUCUGAGCUGACUGCCUACUUCUUUAGCCACAAGUUGAUUGAACUGAUUGGUCACAUCAGAGUGCUCUAUAUUGGCCUUGCCUGUAAUACAGCUCGCUACAUUUAUAUCUCCUAUCUGGAAAAUGCCUGGACUGUUCUCCCUAUGGAAGUACUUCAAGGUGUAACCCAUGCAGCCAUAUGGGCAGCUUGUAUUUCAUAUCUUAGUGCUGCAGUGCCUCCAGAAUUAAGAACUUCAGCUCAGGGGAUUCUACAAGGUCUCCACUUAGGUCUGGGCAGAGGCUGUGGGGCUAUGAUCGGUGGGGUUUUGGUCAACUAUCUUGGGGCUGCAGCAACAUUCAGGGGGAUAGGCAUGGCCUGUUUAGUGAUCCUACUACUCUUUGCAUUAAUCCAGUGGCUAGCUGUUCCUGAUGAAAAAGAAGAGAAGACAAUGCUGGCAGAAAGGAUCCCAGUGCCUUCCAGCCCUGUUCCCAUAGCAACCAUCGACCUCAUACACCAGCAGUCAGAAGAUAUCAUGCCUCGAACUGAGCCCAGACUUCCUCCCAAGAAAACGAAGCAUCAAGAAGAACAGGAAGACGUGAACAAGCCUGCGUGGGGGAUCAGUUCUUCUCCCUGGGUUACUCUGGCUUACGCUGUCUAUCAAAUAAAGGAGAUGGUAGAGCUGUCUAAAAGCAAUCUGAUGCCUGAAAACCAGCCUUUGCAGAGAUUAGCCUGGAGGCGUGGGGGGAGUGCGAAUUGCCAAACAUCCAAAAUAUGGUGGAAAUGGGCACCCCAGCAAAUUAAUAAUGGAAUAUGAAGCCCUUCACCCCCUGGAGCUUGGCCUGGGCUUGUGGUGACUGAAAGUGACUACGACUUGAGAGCUGUUCUGUGGCCUGUGUGAAAUGAGUUGUUGUUUUCCAGUGUUCACAUUACAGAAUCCCCCAGCACCCUUAUUAGGAAUCUUGGCAGAGGGGCCAAGGAUUGGACGAACUCAGAGACUGGACUAUCAUCCGAUCUUUUGGGGUGCUCCCUCCAGAACGAGGUUGGAGCACAGUGGUGGUUGGUGAGGCAAUGUAGGGAAACUUGGGCUGCUGCGGUCAAUGCUGGUUUUUCAAACAGUGUGGGUAAUAAACUUCCUGUUUCUCCUGUCUGCCGCGGGGAGGAGUGGUGCAGCUUCCCCCUUACAUAUUUGCCAUACCAUAUGCACCCAAAUGUCAUUUCCACCAGUCCUACUUCUGGAAGGUGAUGAUUUUGGACAUGACUUUGCAGAUGUGGCAAAGCAGCAUUUGAAGAAAUCCCAACUUCACCAGCUGUCUCCCUCCUCCCCCAUUGGUCUAUAUUCUUGUAAAUAUCCCUACGCAUAUGUUCCCUUCUCAAUAUGCAUGCUGAGCUUCCAUUAGCUUUAAUGAGACUAACUUGCAUGCCUCAGGGAGAGUGAGCAACCAUAUUGAAAUGACUCUUAAAUGUCUGUUUAUACAAGACGAAUUUCAGACACACACAUCUCGGAAAAAUCAAGUGUCUCCUUUUGAAUGACCAUGAAAUCCUCAUUGACACAAUGCUGUCGUGUUACACUCUCAACCCAUGCCACUCUCCCAAGCAGUUUUCCAUCAAUCUUCUCUUAAGCAAUUAUCAGUAUAAGCCCAGCCCUGUUGUUGGCAUAAAUUGGAGAAUGGCAGUCACACACAAUCUGCCAUACCUCCCAGGGCAAGAAAGCUGGUUUAUAGUUCAUGGUAAGCUCUAGGAGAGAGAAUCAACAAAUGUUCAUAGUGUUGGAGAUAGUCUCAGUAAAUGACUUGGGCAAUUAUGAAGUGCUCUCAAGUCUUUUAUUGCCGCCGAUAACUCUCUGCCAUCUUCAGAAACAUGUUCUCUUAAUAACCUCUUUCCCCUUCUCAUAACUUCAUGCAGCCAUUCAUGGAGCCUUUUUAUUAAUACUAUUGAAUUUUGGGCAUUGCAUUAUCUAUUCCACACGUGACUGAUAGAAUUGAGAACCAUUCCUUAGUAGAUAGGAUUCUUAGUAUUUAUGGGAACAACGAAAAUUGGUUCCAUGGGAUAGUUUUAUUAAGGCCCCAAUCCUGCAGUUGGAUAUGCACUGGUAUAUCUUUGCAUCCAUGCAAUGCCCCUCUGUCUUUCAUUAAGGCCUGUGUUUUUAGGGUCAAACAUCAAAAACCCUAUUUCUGCUCAACCAAAUCCCAAAUUUUAAAGUUAGGCUAAAUAUGACUCUUAAUGUUUCCUCCCUCCCUGGCUGGUUGCACUUUUAUCAGGGCAGUCUGCUGUUCUGCAGCUGGCCAGUUUCAAGGAUCUGUCUUCCAGUUUGUGAAUAAAAUAUGAUCAAUGAGCAUUCAACCCUACCACAACAAGAAAGCAUAGCAUCUUUCCCCAUUGUAUUUGUAUGUAAAAAUUUGGUAUUUAAAAACUGUUUACCCAGAAUGAAGCAGUAUUCCACACCCUCCAUUUGAAGAUGCACACAUGAUGCAUCUCAGUUCCAUGAAGCUAGAGAUAUAUUUAAUCAUUUCAGCUCCUUGGAGAAAUUGCCUGCUUUUGCAGAACACACCCACAUUUUAAUUCUAAAAAUUAAAAAACGAACUCCCUAUGCAUUGCUGUUGCUUUUUUUCACCUUGUUCUUUUAGCCUGAAUUUAACAAAACACUAAACCAGAAAAGGCUGCCUAGCUAUCUUGUUAAACAUUUUAAAUAGCAUUCCUAAAAGAAUUCACAGGAAAGUUGGUCAUUUGGAGGAGAAACUUUAAGAGCAUAGAAAAGGGGAUUAACGACAGAAAAACUUUGGUGCCUCCUCAUUUCACAUUACUGCUUGCUUAUAGUAAUCCUUCAGGGAAAGGAGCAUGCUCACCAUUCUAAUUACUUGAUACAAAACAAAUCUUCCAAGAUAAAUCGUGAGGUUAGAAGAUGUUGUAGUACUAAUAUUGUACAAGACUUGUUUUGUCUUUGGCCCUCAGGGAAUGCAGCUAGCAUAUGUCUUUAAAAUAAGAUCACAUAAUCUGGGAAACAGCUUUUAAAAAUUUGCACUGAGCCUUUCAGAAAAUUGUUCUCAACUAUUUUCUUCUUGCUUGAACCAGAGAAUUGCCUGCUUGAAUCGCUGACCUAGCUAUUAUUACUAAGAAAAAGCCUAUUGCUAAGUAAAUUGGAUGAAAUUUAUGUGCUUUUACUGCAAAAGUGCUGCCACUCAAUGGGACUGAGAAAUAUCUUACUUAGAAAAAAUGUUAAGGAAAUAUAGGUGGAUUUGCAGAAGGGAGCAUGAAGUAUGUUUUAGUAAACAGUGCAGUCAUGAUGAUGAUUGUUGUCUGUAUACAGUAGAAUUCUAUUGAUAGUUUUUGUCUUAAAACAUAGCAAGUUUGUUUUUUGCAUGCUUCUUGUGGAGGUGCAGUUAGGAAAAGAAAUGGAAGAAACCCAGUGAGAAUCAGAGUGCUCCAGCAGCCAGUCCAACAGAACAGCCCCCAAAUCUGAGAAACACUGAUGAAUCCAGAGAUUGUUCAAUACCUGCAACGACACUCAACUCCCAAACUGACCCAGAGCC